UACGUAGGGUGCGAGCGUUGUCCGGAAUUACUGGGCGUAAAGAGCUCGUAGGUGGUUUGUCGCGUUGUCCGUGAAAACUCACAACUCAAUUGUGGGCGUGCGGGCGAUACGGGCAGACUGGAGUACUGCAGGGGAGACUGGAAUUCCUGGUGUAGCGGUGGAAUGCGUAGAUAUUGGGAGGAACACCAGUGGCGAAGGCGGCUCACUGGACCGGUUCUGACGCUGAGGCGCGAAAGCGUGGGGAGCAAACGGG
rnacentral:rRNA from 1 species